rnacentral:rRNA from 1 species
CACGUAAACAACCUGCCUUCAGGAUGGGGACAACAGACGGAAACGACUGCUAAUACCGAAUACGCUUGGAAGACCGCAUGAUCUUCCAAGGAAAGGGUGGCCUCUACCUGUAAGCUAUCGCCUGAAGAGGGGUUUGCGUCUGAUUAGGCAGUUGGUGAGGUAACGGCCCACCAAACCUACGAUCAGUAGCCGGUCUGAGAGGAUGAACGGCCACACUGGAACUGAGACACGGUCCAGACUCCUACGGGAGGCAGCAGUGGGGAAUCUUCCGCAAUGGGCGAAAGCCUGACGGAGCAACGCCGCGUGAGUGAUGACGGCCUUCGGGUUGUAAAGCUCUGUGAUCGGGGACGAACGGUCCGUA